GAUGAACGCUAGCUAUAGGCUUAACACAUGCAAGUCGAGGGGCAGCAUGGUCUUAGCUUGCUAAGGCCGAUGGCGACCGGCGCACGGGUGAGUAACACGUAUCCAACCUGCCGUCUACUCUUGGACAGCCUUCUGAAAGGAAGAUUAAUACAAGAUGGCAUCAUGAGUCCACAUGUUCACAUGAUUAAAGGUAUUCCGGUAGACGAUGGGGAUGCGUUCCAUUAGAUAGUAGGCGGGGUAACGGCCCACCUAGUUUUCGAUGGAUAGGGGUUCUGAGAGGAAGGUCCCCCACAUUGGAACUGAGACACGGUCCAAACUCCUACGGGAGGCAGCAGUGAGGAAUAUUGGUCAAUGGGCGAGAGCCUGAACCAGCCAAGUAGCGUGAAGGAUGACUGCCCUAUGGGUUGUAAACUUCUUUUAUAAAGGAAUAAAGUCGGGUAUGCAUACCCGUUUGCAUGUACUUUAUGAAUAAGGAUCGGCUAACUCCGUGCCAGCAGCCGCGGUAAUACGGAGGAUCCGAGCGUUAUCCGGAUUUAUUGGGUUUAAAGGGAGCGUAGAUGGAUGUUUAAGUCAGUUGUGAAAGUUUGCGGCUCAACCGUAAAAUUGCAGUUGAUACUGGAUAUCUUGAGUGCAGUUGAGGCAGGCGGAAUUCGUGGUGUAGCGGUGAAAUGCUUAGAUAUCACGAAGAACUCCGAUUGCGAAGGCAGCCUGCUAAGCUGCAACUGACAUUGAGGCUCGAAAGUGUGGGUAUCAAACAGGAUUAGAUACCCUGGUAGUCCACACGGUAAACGAUGAAUACUCGCUGUUUGCGAUAUACUGCAAGCGGCCAAGCGAAAGCGUUAAGUAUUCCACCUGGGGAGUACGCCGGCAACGGUGAAACUCAAAGGAAUUGACGGGGGCCCGCACAAGCGGAGGAACAUGUGGUUUAAUUCGAUGAUACGCGAGGAACCUUACCCGGGCUUAAAUUGCAGAUGAAUUACGGUGAAAGCCGUAAGCCGCAAGGCAUCUGUGAAGGUGCUGCAUGGUUGUCGUCAGCUCGUGCCGUGAGGUGUCGGCUUAAGUGCCAUAACGAGCGCAACCCUUGUUGUCAGUUACUAACAGGUUCCGCUGAGGACUCUGACAAGACUGCCAUCGUAAGAUGUGAGGAAGGUGGGGAUGACGUCAAAUCAGCACGGCCCUUACGUCCGGGGCUACACACGUGUUACAAUGGGGGGUACAGAGGGCCGCUACCACGCGAGUGGAUGCCAAUCCCAAAAACCUCUCUCAGUUCGGACUGGAGUCUGCAACCCGACUCCACGAAGCUGGAUUCGCUAGUAAUCGCGCAUCAGCCACGGCGCGGUGAAUACGUUCCCGGGCCUUGUACACACCGCCCGUCAAGCCAUGGGAGCCGGGGGUACCUGAAGUGCGUAACCGCGAGGAGCGCCCUAGGGUAAAACUGGUGACUGGGGCU
rnacentral:rRNA from 1 species